GACAUAGGGUGCGAACGUUGUUCGGAAUUACUGGGCGUAAAGCGCGCGUAGGCGGAUCUGCAAGUCGGGGGUGAAAUCCCGAGGCUCAACCUCGGAACUGCCUUCGAUACUGCGGGUCUCGAGUCCGGGAGAGGUGAGUGGAAUUCCUAGUGUAGAGGUGAAAUUCGUAGAUAUUAGGAAGAACACCAGUGGCGAAGGCGGCUCACUGGCCCGGUACUGACGCUGAGGCGCGAAAGCGUGGGGAGCAAACAGG
rnacentral:rRNA from 1 species